rnacentral:rRNA from 1 species
CCGUCAAUUCCUUUGAGUUUCACCGUUGCCGGCGUACUCCCCAGGUGGAGGACUUAACGGUUUCCCUAAGCCGCUGACCCUUGACAGGCCAACAGCGAGUCCUCAUCGUUUACGGCAUGGACUACCAGGGUAUCUAAUCCUGUUUGCUCCCCAUGCUUUCGUGCCUCAGUGUCAAAUCAAACGUAGCCACCUGCCUUCGCAAUCGGUGUUCUGGAUGAUAUCUAUGCAUUUCACCGCUACACCAUCCAUUCCGGCAGCCUCCACUUGUUUCAAGCUUAACAGUAUCAAUGGCACCUCAACCGUUGAGCGGCUGUAUUUCACCACUGACUUAUUAAGCCACCUACGCACCCUUUAAACCCAAUAAAUCCGGACAACGCUCGCACCCUCCGUAUUACCGCGGCUGCUGGCACGGAGUUAGCCGGUGCUUAUUCAUUCGGUACCGUCACAUAAGGACGCAUCCCUACUCUUCUUCCCGAAUAAAAGCCGUUUACAACCCUGAGGGCCUUCAUCCGGCACGCGGCAUGGCUGGGUCAGACUUGCAUCCAUUGCCCAAUAUUCCCUACUGCUGCCUCCCGUAGGAGUCGGGCCCGUAUCUCAGUGCCCGUGUGGGGGAUCAACCUCUCAGCUCCCCUAUCGAUCGUCGCCUUGGUAGGCCGUUACCCUCCCAACUAGCUAAUCGAACGCAUGCCCAUCUACCACCGAUAAAUCUUUAACAAAUAGUACCCAUGCGGGACCCCUGUGUUAUGCGGUAUUAAUCCGGGUUUCCCCGGGCUAUCCCCCAGUGAUAGGUAGGUUGCAUACGCGUUACGCACCCGUACGACGGUGACAUUGCUGCCCCCUCGCCUUGCAUGUAUUAAGCCUGCCGCUAGCGUUCAUCCUGAGCCAUGAUCAAACUCUA